rnacentral:rRNA from 1 species
UACGUAGGGUGCGAGCGUUGUCCGGAAUUAUUGGGCGUAAAGAGCUCGUAGGCGGCUCAUCGCGUCUGCCGUGAAAACCUGUGGCUCAACUACAGGCUUGCGGUUGAUACGGGCAGACUAGAGUUCGGCAGGGGAGACUGGAAUUCCUGGUGUAGCGGUGAAAUGCGCAGAUAUCAGGAGGAACACCGGUGGCGAAGGCGGGUCUCUGGGCCGAUACUGACGCUGAGGAGCGAAAGCGUGGGGAGCGAACAGG